UACGGGGGGGGCAAGCGUUGUUCGGAAUUACUGGGCGUAAAGGGCUCGUAGGCGGCCAACUAAGUCGGACGUGAAAUCCCCAGGCUCAACCUGGGAACUGCGUCUGAUACUGGAUGGCUUGAGUUCGGGAGAGGGAUGCGGAAUUCCAGGUGUAGCGGUGAAAUGCGUAGAUAUCUGGAGGAACACCGGUGGCGAAGGCGGCAUCCUGGACCGACACUGACACUGAGGAGCGAAAGCCAGGGGAGCAAACGGG
rnacentral:rRNA from 1 species